rnacentral:rRNA from 1 species
AUUGAACGCUGGCGGCAGGCUUAACACAUGCAAGUCGAGCGAGCGGCGAACGGGUGAGUAAUGUCUGGGAAACUGCCUGAUGGAGGGGGAUAACUACUGGAAACGGUAGCUAAUACCGCAUACCAUCAGAUGUUCCCCGAUGGGAUUAGCUAGUAGGUGGGGUAAUGGCUGACCUAGGCGACGAUCCCUAGCUGGUCUGAGAGGAUGACCGGCCACACGGGAACGGGGACACGGUCCAGACUCCUACGGUAGGCAGCAGUGGGGAAUAGUGGACAAUGGGCGCAAGCCUGAUGCAGCCAUGCCGCGUGUGUGAAGAAGGCCUUCGGGUUGUAAAGCACUGUCAGCGAGGAGGCGUUACUCGCAGAAGAAGCAACGGCUAACUCCGUGCCAGCAGCCGCGGUAAUAC